rnacentral:rRNA from 1 species
GAUGAACGCUGGCGGCGUGCCUAAUACAUGCAAGUCGAGCGAACAGAUGAGGAUCUUGCUCCUCUGACGUUAGCGGCGGACGGGUGAGUAACACGUGGAUAACCUACCUAUAAGACUGGGAUAACUUCGGGAAACCGGAGCUAAUACCGGAUCAUAUAUUGAACCGCAUGGUUCAAUAGUGAAAGACGGUUUUGCUGUCACUUAUAGAUGGAUCCGCGCCGCAUUAGCUAGUUGGUAAGGUAACGGCUUACCAAGGCAACGAUGCGUAGCCGACCUGAGAGGGUGAUCGGCCACACUGGAACUGAGACACGGUCCAGACUCCUACGGGAGGCAGCAGUAGGGAAUCUUCCGCAAUGGGCGAAAGCUUGACGGAGCAACGCCGCGUGAGUGAUGAAGGUCUUCGGAUCGUAAAACUCUGUUAUUAGGGAAGAACAAAUGUGUAAGUAACUAUGCACGUCUUGACGGUACCUAAUCAGAAAGCCACGGCUAACUACGUG